AACCUCUUAAAAUCUUUAUUUUACGCUUUUUUUAUUAUUAUUAUUUUUAAUUAGCACAUGCAUAAAGAGUCAACAGUUCGGGAUUAUGUCAUAUGACGUUUUAACAAAUGUAGUUACAAGCGGUGCUCCGGCUCUCCGCAGGACUCCUCUCUACACUGUACAGAAGAAAGCUCAUCCUGCGACCAACGUUGUCCCUACCUUUCCGUCCUAGUGUCACGACAGGCAGGACACCCACAACACCAGGGAGAAAUACACUUGUUCACACGUAGCAACUGUGUACGGUAGAUAGAUACAAGCAGCAACAUCUACUCACCUAUUGACUAAGUGCACGUGGUUAAAAGACCCCAUUAGACAGUGAACGACUCUUUCUUCUUUAAUGUCAACUAUAUAAUAAUGGAAAUCAGGUUAUAGCCUGCAAUGUAUGACCCUCCCGUGGGAGAGAUGCCUGUCUCCCAUCAGCUGCUUCUAUCAAGUGGUAAAUUGAAGGAAAAGCUGGUGGUAUGUCUGCCGGUAUUAAAAAAAAAUGAGCCUUUUGGAGCAUCAGGGCAUCUCCACCAGCUGAUGAGCCCCUCCGAUGCCAGGCACGAGGUACCACCAGGACAUUGUCCUUGUCCCUGCCAUGCCACCGUGCCUUCCCCUUGGAGACACCCCGCCCUGAGCCUCUCCAGCAGGGCUGGGGAGGCAGAAAUGCCCUUUGCCAGCCUUUCCCAGAGGUGCUCGUGCUCCUGCUGAAGGUGGUGGAAACCCACGGCUCCAGUCCUGCAUCUGGAGGAGGAGGAGGAGGAGAAAGGCUCCCCAGCACACACCCUGGAACAAACCCACCAGCAGGAGCAUGUCCUGCAGCAAAGCAGGGAUUCUUUUUUCCACCCUUCUUGCAGCCCUACUGUGUGCUUUUGGGGUCCGUCCCCUGCCCAAGGUGCAAUGCUUGUUUUUGCACCCAGAGACGUGUGGUUGCCAGAGUGGGUAUCCCUUAGGUUGGCCAAGAUCAGAGUAAAAACUGAUGCAAGAACUGCCCUGGGAUAAAAUCUCAGGUGCAAGGAAGGAGGAAUCCUGGUGGACAUCUCAGGGUUUUGUCCUGGUUUUCGCCUGGGAGAGGGCAGGCCGAGCAUCAUAAACACAUACCAGUGCCCAGAAAUGCUCUGCCCCUUCCCCCUGGCAGGGGACGGGCACUCUCACUGCUGGACUUCCACCACCCACUGCUCCAACCCCCCCCGGGAGCUCCUUGGAAAUGCAGUGGGGAUCUCCAGAAAAGGCACUUGUGUCAACGAUAAUCCCACCCUGCUGCCUGCCAGCUUCUCCUCCUGCAAGCCCCAUGUUUGACCUGGAGCAGGAUCCGCACUGCGGCACCGAGCCAAACUCACACCGGGUGGCUUCUGCUUCAGGAUCCCCCAGGCAAGCCCCCAAAAGGGAGUCUAUUAAAACAAGGAGCCAUCAACCCCGAAACAGCCCUAAAAAUGUGUUUCAGAGCAAAAGGUUUCUUUUUGGUGGGGAUUUUCUUUCUUUGUCCUAAACUGCUCCAAUCUGUGAGGAAAGGCACCACAAAGAGAGGCCCCAUUUGUGGAAAACUGGACAGAGCUAAAUGCAGACCUGGAGCUUCUCAGGGUAAAACCAGCUUUGGUGGUGGUUCUGGGAUCAAGGCUCAUACCAGGACGGCUUUUGGGAGGCCAGCAGUGGCACCUCUCCUCCUCCAGAGCACCUCUAGAGGAAUCAACAGUCCCUCAACGUGCAUCACGGUAACUUCACUGGGCUCAAAUCCCACUUUAUUCCUAAUGCAGGAAUUGUAUGGUUAGUUUUUCCAUGGCAAAUGACUUUCUGCUGGGGAAGCAUUCCCAGCUGAGGCAUCAGGCAUACACAAACACCCAAAAUGGGUGAAAAUUCACGGGAUUUGAAGCACCUGAGCUGAGGUGGGGCCUUCAGGCAUAAAAGACCUUCCUACAAGGGUAGGAGACCCUGCUGAAGUAGGCCUUGGUAUGCUCUUUGUUUUGUUCUUGUGAAUUGGUUUCUUAUAAACCCAAUUUUGAAAGUGGUUAUGCUGAUGACUGCUCUGUUUUUUUGGUGGCUAGCUGGGAAAUAACAUUGGAUCUGAUUUUUUCUCUUGCUUCUCUAGCAGAGGAAGGCAGAAUGGAUUUUUUUCUCCUGGCAAUCAUGACACUGAUUCUCUAAGCUGCCAGCACCAACAGCAAGUCCAAAGCUCACCUGAGAUCAAGGAGAAGCUGGGAUGUGACCACUACCAAACCUCCACUGACCUUCACGAGACUUCAGCUAGACCAGACUUCAGAGCUGACACAGCCCUCACAGACAGCAUACCACGGGCACCGCAGUCUUCAAAACAUCCAUCAUCAGGUAAAUCUGAGGUGCCCGAGAGUUUCCUGAUGGACCUCGGGGACUAGAGUCUUCUGCUAAUAUCUCUAAGCAGACUCAAACCAGCUUAUUUAUUCUUUGGUUGACUCAAGCCUAAUUAAUUUGUACGUGCACAGAAUACACUUCCCCCUGUUGGCAGCCUUUUAUUUAUUAUUUUUAAUCUGUGCCCAUAAAUUGGCAAGGAGGAGAAGGCAGAUAAAAUGGCAAGGGGAGCUCUCAGGAGAUCGGUUGGGCUCAUUAAAUGUUUGGCACUCCGUGAUUAUCUGCUGGCAACGAAAUGUCACUGCCGUAUUUUCACAGGGAACGUGAUCCCUUAAUGUACAGGAGGAUCUCCUCAGCCCACUUUGGGUACACUUGAGAGAGAGGAGCAAUUCAAUCAUCUGUGACCUGGAUUGUGUUUUUUAAUGGCUGCCAAGUUAGAUAAAAAUAUUUAAAUAUUCACUUUUAUAUCAGCCCACAUGGGGAUUUGAGCAUUUCAGGUUGUAUAAUGCGGCAUGGCCUACUUUUGGAGGAGUAUACAGAAAUAGGCACAUAUGUACAAAACAAUGAGUGUGCAGCAUAUGGGUCAGCCAGCCAGAGUUAAUUAGCACGGCACAACCACCUCCAGCAGAGCUAGCCUGGCCCAGACCACCCAAAGAGCUCGUGUUGGGUUUCAGAGGUGACCUGGUCGAAAUUAGGUGAGUAUGCCUAAAAUGAAGACGGUCAUCCUCGAAGGUGCCUGAGCAUGUCAAGGCACCACAGAGGCUGCUCUGUCAGCAGAGCUGGCCUUGUAGGAGUGGGACUGUGGCUUUCAGUGCCACCAUGUGCUGCUUGUCUGCCUUGUGAUGCUGCCAGGAGAGCUGGGGAGAGCACAGUGUGCUAUGGUUGGGCCAGAAAUUGGUGUCCACAGCCUGUACAGGUCACUUCUUCACCAACUACAUGAGAAACCAGAGCAAUGAGCUGCAAUGUGUUCAUCUAUCUGGGGAGGCCACCUGUGGAUCUGCCUGUUUGGGGUAUCAAGACUGCUUGAGUGCAGCCAAGGCCUGGGAAGAGCUGGAUUAUGGUGACUGCAAGCAGUGGGCAGUGCCAGGAGGGUAUGGUCCUGCUGGCUUGCUAUGUGAAAGGGGAUAGUCACUAGGGGCUGGGAGCUUCCUUGGGCAGAGUGUGAAGGGUGAGGAUGUGCUGGGACACCCAAGAGUGGUGUAAGAACGUAAAGCUGUGAGGAAUGAGGGCGAGCCCUGCUCCCUGUCACCACGAGGCUCCUGGCUCCUCCAUCAACACAACCCACGCAGGGCAAGCAAGGCUUCAGUGUGUGAUUGUCGAGUGCUUUGCCAUGUGAUGGCACUGACCCUAAUAACAGCACGGGGUGAUGGCUCCAACCCCCAGCACCACAGGGUUGCUACGAGGUGGUGGGUCCGGAUUGUCCCUGCAAACUCACGCUCCUGUCGGGUGCCACCAGAGCGAGUCCCGCUGGAGUUAU